GGGUUGGGCAUCCAGUGAAGGCUUGGGGAACUUCACUGGCACCAACCCCGUCUUUGCAGUAUGGACACAGCUGAACAAUGCCCUCCACGGCCAAAGAAGGACAUGGGCAGCCCUCCUCAGACCUGAAAACUAGUGCUUGCUACCAAGCCCCAAGUCCUAAACUAGAGUCCUGAAACCAGGAGGCUCUCAUACCUGAGAAGGCAGCCCCACAGGUGAAAAAGUUCACUUAGACAAAUCCUUGGGUGCUAACCCAUUUCCUGCGACAGGACCAAGGCUUAGGUGUCAGGGAAGGUCUGAAAGCACUAGUUCACCUUCAGGGUGCUGCAGAAACUUUGGAGACAGUCUAACGGUGCUUCUACGCCAGCUUAGCUGUCCUUCCUCACACAAGCAGAGGUCUCUCUCCUGGCCCUCCCCAGUCACCCCGUCCCUGGCCACCUGUUCUGGGACACCCUCUUUGGAUGGAAGGAUAUCACCAGGAAAUGGACAGCCUGCUCCCCAUGGCAGUGCUGUCUGACCCUGCCCUGCCUCGACCUCCCUUCCUAAACACAGAAAGACACACGGAGAGACUCCUUCCCAACCAGAAACCCAGCCUAUUGGUGACCUUUUGGACCCAGUAUUCUGUAUUUGGACCCAGUAUUCUGGUAGUGGAGCUUCGACUCCAAAAACACGUCCUUUCUUCCCUCUCAAAUGUGUCAUCUCUUAAAGCUUCAUCUGGGACAUAACAAGGAUCCAGGAAGGCCAUGGGUGAUGAUGGCACCUGGGAGCAACCACCACAUCAACGUUACUGUCAUCAAACCCAGGACCAACAGCCCAGCCAAGAUCUGGCUCUUCAGCCACAUCUUAAGGGAAG